UUGAUUUCUUGUUUUAGAAAUCAUGUUGCAGAAAAUACUUAUACAGGAUUGCAGCUAGUACCACAUGACGUUUUGGAGUCACUGAGACUACCAGAUGAGCAAUGGGCUACUUAUUCUGUUGAUGUUGUAGAAAAUUCUUUCGAGGCAGAACCUCGAAUUCCUGCAGAAUUCAAUACACAUGGUGGCUUUAAUGGACUGAAUAAUGACUCUUUCCUGGCAUUGCAGUCACCAACUUAUCUGGAGCAGGAAUCGUCGUAUUCUAAUGGUCCUAGUUUUGGUUGUGAUUUAUUGAAUUAUCAAAUUGACAGUGGACCGGUAAUUGCUUUCUCUGAGUUGCAGCAACUACCAAACCACUUGAUUUCUUGUUUUGGAAAUCAUGUUGCAGAAAAUACUUAUACAGGAUUGCAGCUAGUACCACAUGACAUUUUGGAGUCACUGAGACUACCAGAUGAGCAAUGGGCUACUUAUUCUGUUGAUGUUGUAGAAAAUUCUUUCGAGGCAGAACCUCGAAUUCCUGCAGAAUUCAAUACACAUGGUGGCUUUAAUGGACUGAAUAAUGACUCUUUCCUGGCAUUGCAGUCACCAACUUAUCUGGAACAGGAAUCGUCAUAUUCUAAUGGUCCUAGUUUU
rnacentral:lncRNA from 1 species